GAAAGGCACACGUGGUCUCAACUGUGGCACCUUGGAAACAGCCUACGAACUCAAAGGUGACGUUUUUUUCCCUUGGGCUUGAGCUGGGCUUUCUGGUAGAGUGCAGCCGAGGACUGUCUCAUUCACCGCCAGUCAAAACACCCUGGGACAUCCUGGGGCCCAGAGUAUCCUGCAAGGCUCAUGUGUGACCUCCUGGGAAGCAGGUGGCUAUUGAGCUUGGCAGUCUCUCCCCAGGAUGCGGCAGAGGGGCUCACCUUGGUGCGCCAAGAAGAGCAGCUGAGCUGUGCUGAGUUGGGUCUGUCUCCAUCCAGUAUUUGUGGUAACCACAGGCUUCGGGAUAGUCUGCUUCUACCUGGGCACAGCUGUGGAAACUUCCUCGGGCCUUAGAUUUUGCAUCGUUAGGGAUCCGCACCCAGGCAGAUGGACUGCCUCUCCUUUGACUUCCCGCCUGUUAUGCUUGGGACUACUGCAGAAGCUUAGCCCCUUCUGAUGUUUGUGUAUGACAAUCUACAGGCCCAGUCCUUGACACUAUCUGAUCCAGAGAGCUGCCUUGUGGGGAUGCAGACCUUCUACAAACAGGCACACUAUGCACCAGGCACCCAGCACAGUCACCCUGGCGCUCCACUCUCAAAAACAAAAGAAGGAUGGAGACCCACUGGACACAUAAAAAAGACCAGAAAUACGAGAAAGAAGUAGGAGAACAACCAACCUCAUAGGGAAAAUAAAUAUUUCAGAAAGCAGAAGAUAAUUCCUCAAAAUAUUAACCAGUGUCUUCAGAGGAAUGAAGGUCUGAGGCCUAUAAUGAAAAGGAAAUAAAUAAAUAAAUAAAUAAAUAAAUAA
rnacentral:lncRNA from 1 species